AGUUUAUAUGCAUGUGAGAGCUAUGAAAGACGAGCUUUAACCCCAGGACCUCCUCUAUUUUCAAGUCCUCUUGCUCUAGAUCCCACACAGUUGGCUUCCUCAUCUGAUUUCACUUAUCUUGCUGUGUGAUAUGCUUACACAAGUUACCUGAAAAUAUAUGUGAAAAUUCCUAUCAUAAAGGGGUGAUUCUCUUUGGAUAGUAUUAUUUCCAACUUUAACUACUCGAGAAGAAGAAAAGAGCAACCAAACUCUUUCUGUCCUGGAACACUGGCAGUGUGAGAAAGCACCAGUACCACAGAAAUAAAAGAACUCAAGAGAACAAAGGAAAGAGAACCCAAAAGUAUUCCAGGUAUACAGAGACUGUGCUACCUUCAAUCUCCUUAUACCAUUUCAUCUAGAGCUGAAGAAGGAACAGGAUUCUAGUGAAAAAACCCAUGAAACGAGCAGUGUGCCCAAACAAACAAGCCAGCCUCAAUUAUUCAGCUUAAGUCUGAGGGGAGAUAACAACUAAUUCCCAGUUCUUUAAGCACCAGUUGUCACAAUCUGGUUUGAGCCCUCAGUCCUGGAGAGUCAGCACCACGGCAUCGUGCUCUCAUGUUGAUCACAUACAAUGAAAGCACAGUACUGGGUUAACAACUGCAAAUGAAAUAAAGGUGAGUACACAUUCA
rnacentral:lncRNA from 1 species